ACGUUCUGCCAACGACCGUGAUGU
rnacentral:siRNA from 1 species